rnacentral:rRNA from 1 species
AUUGAACGCUGGCGGCAGGCCUAACACAUGCAAGUCGAGCGGAGCGGCGGACGGGUGCGUAAUGCCUAGGAAUCUGCCUGGUAGUGGGGGAUAACGUCCGGAAACGGGAGCUAAUACUGCAUACUAUCACAUGAGCCUAGGUCGGAAUAGGUAGUUGGUGGGGGAAAGGCCUACGAAGGCGACGAUCCGUAACUGGUCUGAGAGGAUGAUCAGUCACACUGGAACUGAUACACGGUCCAGACUCCUACGGGAGGCAGCAGUGGGGAAUAUUGGACAAUGGGCGAAAGCCUGAUCCAGCCAUGCCGCGUGUGUGAAGAAGGUCUGCGGAUUGUAAAGCACUUUAAGUUGGGAGGCGUUACCAGCAGAAGAAGCACCGGCUAACUUCGUGCCAGCAGCCGCGGUAAUUC